rnacentral:ribozyme from 1 species
GCCGCUCAUGGUAGGAGCCUCCACGGGGCGAGCGGUGGGCAACAGCAUAAGCUGGCGAAUAACCUGCU